GCCGCGCCUACCUCGACGGAGGGAAAACCGGGACACCUUCACCCGGCUGGCGCGGCACCCAAACGAAGG
rfam:Azoarcus aromaticum EbN1 complete genome